AACCCGCUCCAGCGAGUUAUCAUCGGAAUGAGUACAAUCUAAAUCCUUUAACGAGGACCUAGCGGAGGGCAAGUCUGGUGCCAGCAGCCGCGGUAAUUCCAGCUCCGCCAGUGUAUAUCUAUGCUGCUGCGGUUAAAAAGCUCGUAGUUGGAUCUUCGUGUUGAUGCCGGUCUGUCUUUGUGACAUGAACUGAUCAUCAGCACUGUUUCGUUGGUUUUCCCUUGAUGCCUUUAAUCGGGUGUCCUGGGUGGCCAACAUGUUUACUUUGAAAAAAUUAGAGUGCUUAAAACAAGCGAUUUGCUUGAAUAUUCGUGCAUGGAAUAAUAGAAUAGGCUUUUGGCUCUAUUUUGUUGGUUUUCGGAGCACAAGAGAAUGAUUAAGAGGGACAGACGGGGGCAUUCGUACUCCGACGUUAGAGGUGAAAUUCUUGGAUCGUCGGAUGACGCACUACUGCGAAAGCAUUUGCCAAGAAUGUUUUCAUUAAUCAAGAACGAAAGUUAGAGGUUCGAAGGCGAUCAGAUACCGCCCUAGUUCUAACCGUAAACGAUGCCAACUAGCGAUCUGCUGGUGUUUUUUCAGACCCAGCAGGGAGCUUACCGGAAACGAAAGUCUUCAGGUUCCGGGGGAAGUAUGGUUGCAAAGCUGAAACUUAAAGGAAUUGACGGAAGGGCACCACCAGGAGUGGAGCCUGCGGCUUAAUCUGACCCAACACGGGAAAACUCACCCGGCCCGGACACCGUAAGGAUUGACAGAUUGAGAGCUCUUUCUUGAUUCGGUGGGUGGUGGUGCAUGGCCGUUCUUAGUUGGUGGAUUGAUUUGUCUGGUUUAUUCCGAUAACGAACGAGACUCCAACCUACUAACUAGUGGGCGAAUCUUCUUGUUCGCAACACUUCUUAGAGGGACAAGCUGUGUUUAGCAGCAUGAGAAGGAGCAAUAACAGGUCUGUGAUGCCCUUAGAUGUCCGGGGCUGCACGCGCGCUACACUGAAGGAAUCAACGUGCUAGAAAACCUAGUUUGACAUGGCUAGGUAACCCCUUGAAAAUCCUUCGUGAUUGGGAUCGGGACUUGCAAAUGUGUCCCUUGAACGAGGAAUUCCCAGUAAGUGCGAGUCAUCAGCUCGCGCUGAUUACGUCCCUGCCCUUUGUACACACCGCCCGUCGCUGCCCGGAACUGAGCCGUUUCGAGAAGACUGGGGACUGCCGACUUAGGGCCUUCA
rnacentral:rRNA from 1 species